GUAUAAGAGACAGCAGCAGCCGCGGUAAUACAGAGGGUGCGAGCGUUAAUCGGAUUUACUGGGCGUAAAGCGUGCGUAGGCGGCUUUUUAAGUCGGAUGUGAAAUCCCUGAGCUUAACUUAGGAAUUGCAUUCGAUACUGGGAAGCUAGAGUAUGGGAGAGGAUGGUAGAAUUCCAGGUGUAGCGGUGAAAUGCGUAGAGAUCUGGAGGAAUACCGAUGGCGAAGGCAGCCAUCUGGCCUAAUACUGACGCUGAGGUACGAAAGCAUGGGGAGCAAACAGGAUUAGAUACCCCUGUAGUCCCUGUCUCUUAUAC
rnacentral:rRNA from 1 species